rnacentral:rRNA from 1 species
AAAGGAAUAGACGGGGGCCCGCACAAGCGGUGGAUUAUGUGGUUUAAUUCGAAGCAACGCGAAGAACCUUACCAGGGCUUGACAUCCUACUAACGAGGUAGAGAUACGUUAGGUGCCCUUCGGGGAAAGUAGAGACAGGUGGUGCAUGGUUGUCGUCAGCUCGUGUCGUGAGAUGUUGGGUUAAGUCCCGCAACGAGCGCAACCCUUAUUGUUAGUUGCUACGCAAGAGCACUCUAGCGAGACUGCCGUUGACAAAACGGAGGAAGGCGGGGACGACGUCAAAUCAUCAUGCCCCUUAUGUCCUGGGCGACACACGUAAUACAAUGGCGGUCAACAGAGGGAAGCAAGUCCGCGAGGAGGAGCAAAUCCCCAAAAGCCGUCUCAGUUCGGAUCGCAGGCUGCAACCCGCCUGCGUGAAGUCGGAAUCGCUAGUAAUCGCGGAUCAGCACGCCGCGGUGAAUACGUUCCCGGGCCUUGUACACACCGCCCGU